AUGAAAUCAAGCGUACUUUUUCAAUUAUAAAACUAUAUUUGUUAUUACUUGUACCUACUAUUAAUGUAGGUAUGCAGAAACAAUCAAACUUGUUCGAUUACAGCAAGAAAUAAUCUUAUACUUUCAAUAAUUGAAGUGGCUAGCUCUACCUAACGAAAUGUAUUUCUCUCGAAAUAAUCUUAUGUUUACCAUAGCAUUUAUUUGCGCUGUUAUUACGUUUAUGUCUGAUGAUAUUGAAGCUCAGACAGCUACGGUACCUGUGACACAUGGGGACCCUGGGGUGAUGGGGCCCCGCAGGACGAGAUCUACUAAGAAAAAGCGUAAAACAGGUGCUAAAUACCAUCGUUCGACAGCAACAACGGAUGGACGCCUCACAAUAGGAAAUAUAUUUGAAGACUGGACGACAAAGGAAGAAUUUGGUUUUUGGAAAUUUAUGAGACUUGUUACAUUGGAUCCAAUUACACUGUUUUCCACGACCACUAAUGCUACAACAAAGGCAGAGAGAAAGUAAUAAAUUUAAGGCAUAUGAAGAUAGGCUGAAAUAUUUGCAUGCCGUUAUUCGGCUGAAUUAUGUCGUGAGUCGUGACCCAUAAAAACUAUGUAACAUCUGUUAACUACCAUAAUUCACGCAAAUAAACGAUCUU